rnacentral:rRNA from 1 species
GAUGAACGCUGGCGGCGUGCUUAACACAUGCAAGUCGAACGGUGAAGGCGGAGCUUGCUCUGCUGGAUCAGUGGCGAACGGGUGAGUAACACGUGAGCAAUCUGCCCCUGACUCUGGGAUAAGCGCUGGAAACGGCGUCUAAUACUGGAUACGAGCUGCGAAGGCAUCUUCAGCAGCUGGAAAGAACUUCGGUCAGGGAUGAGCUCGCGGCCUAUCAGCUUGUUGGUGAGGUAACGGCUCACCAAGGCGUCGACGGGUAGCCGGCCUGAGAGGGUGACCGGCCACACUGGGACUGAGACACGGCCCAG